ACGAAGGGGGCUAGCGUUGUUCGGAAUUACCGGGCGUAAAGCGCACGUAGGCGGAUAUUUAAGUCAGGGGUGAAAUCCCAGAGCUCAACUCUGGAACUGCCUUUGAUACUGGGUAUCUUGAGUAUGGAAGAGGUAAGUGGAAUUCCGAGUGUAGAGGUGAAAUUCGUAGAUAUUCGGAGGAACACCAGUGGCGAAGGCGACUUUCUGGACUGUAACUGACACUGAGGCACGAAAGCGUGGGGAGCAAACAG
rnacentral:rRNA from 1 species